rnacentral:rRNA from 1 species
UAUGCACGCUGGCGGCGUGCUUAACACAUGCAAGUCGAACGGAAAGGCCCAAGCUUGCUUGGGUACUCGAGUGGCGAACGGGUGAGUAACACGUGGGUGAUCUGCCCUGCACUUCGGGAUAAGCCUGGGAAACUGGGUCUAAUACCGGAUAGGACGAUGGUUUGGAUGCCAUUGUGGAAAGUUUUUUCGGUGUGGGAUGAGCUCGCGGCCUAUCAGCUUGUUGGUGGGGUAAUGGCCUACCAAGGCGUCGACGGGUAGCCGGCCUGAGAGGGUGUACGGCCACAUUGGGACUGAGAUACGGCCCAGACUCCUACGGGAGGCAGCAGUGGGGAAUAUUGCACAAUGGGCGCAAGCCUGAUGCAGCGACGCCGCGUGGGGGAUGACGGCCUUCGGGUUGUAAACUCCUUUCGCUAGGGACGAAGCGUUUUGUGACGGUACCUGGAGAAGAAGCACCGGCUAACUACGUG